AAUCAGUGAGAUGAUCCAUCAAUCAUCAUCAGGCUGCAAGCCUUAUAGCCUCUUCACAAAGGACCAGAUGGCUGUGUGACAUGUUUUCAGUUCUGUGCAAGGAACCACCAUCACACCAUGGAAGAUGUCAAUGUCAACAGCAGAAGGAAAAUUACUCUGCAGGCCCUUCCCAUCUUCCUCCCCCUCUGAUACUACCUUGCAGCCAAAAGACAACAACCACAACCAUCUUCUAGCCACCAGAAUAGCAAUUAAAUCAUACUACAGUAAUUCACCAAAAAUGACAUAUUUGGCAGAAGAAAUUGACCUGCCAGACUUCUCGGAUGCAGCUGUAGCUAUUCUCACUGUCUCGGGUGAUACAGACUCCCUUGUGAAGUUUGGUCCUGCUAUCCAUUCUAUAGUUGACAGAGACGUUAUUUUUCUAUUUGGCUUAAUUUGUGCACUUCAUCUCGAUUGUCCAAAGCAAUUGUCCUACAAGUUCAUUAAAAAAAUUAUAAUGGGUUUGGAAGACCUGAAGCGGUUACCUCCUAGACUGCUGCUUAGCCUUAAAAAUAAAUGGCUGAUGAUGGAUGAGUAAGCAGUCUGUUUUCCAAAUCUCAUGGUUGGUACUGCCAGCAUUUUAAUACUCAAGCAAGCAAUGGAGCUUUUCGCUUUUAUUUAUGUUGGCCUAUUAUUUUGUUAUUUGAGUAUUAUUACCUUUGUUGAAGUGGUAAAAGGUUGUUAUUUCUUUGAUUUUCUGUAUUAACCGCA